AUGUUAAAAUAGUGCCCUCAUGUGGUUUGUUUGGGAGCUGCAGACAAAAAUGCGUGGUUUGACGGUAAAUAGGGUAACUCAACAGUUGCUAUGGGGAACGCGAGCUGUUGAUACAUGUUAUGUCUGCAGCAAAACACCACUGAGAGGAUGUUUUAUUUCACUUUUCAGUAAAUACCAAUCAACAAAAACGAUGUGUCCUUGCAAUUUAUUGAGAAAUUGAGCCCACUGACUGCUGUUCAUCUGAGUGCAUGAAGAACGAAUGAGCGAAAUUGGUUAAAUCACAACGCAGAAUACGAGCGAGAGACCAGAUCCAGUCAUGACAGCGACAAGAUCCG